UACGGAGGAUGCAAGCGUUAUCCGGAUUCACUGGGUUUAAAGGGUGAGUAGGCGGACUGAUAAGUCAGUGGUGAAAGACUGUAGCUUAACUAUAGAAAUGCCAUUGAUACUAUCGGCCUUGAGUACAGUUGAGGCAGGCGGAAUGUGCAGUGUAGCGGUGAAAUGCUUAGAUAUUGCACAGAACACCGAUUGCGAAGGCAGCUUGCUAAGCUGUUACUGACGCUGAGUCACGAAAGCGUGGGGAUCAAACAGG
rnacentral:rRNA from 1 species